rnacentral:rRNA from 1 species
UACGUAGGUGGCAAGCGUUGUCCGGAAUUAUUGGGCGUAAAGCGCGCGCAGGCGGUCCUUUAAGUCUGAUGUGAAAGCCCACGGCUCAACCGUGGAGGGUCAUUGGAAACUGGGGGACUUGAGUGCAGAAGAGGAAAGCGGAAUUCCACGUGUAGCGGUGAAAUGCGUAGAGAUGUGGAGGAACACCAGUGGCGAAGGCGGCUUUCUGGUCUGUAACUGACGCUGAGGCGCGAAAGCGUGGGGGAGCAAACAGG